AAUCAGUUUAUUUUUCAGUUUUUGGUUACAAAUGUUUUGAUUGUUCGUCUUAUUUAAAUUUUUUUAAUUAAUAUUUUUAUUGUUAUUAGAUGAUAAAAUAUAAAUAGUGCUAUAUGUCUGACUAAUUUUUUUUAAUUUUUUGUAACAAUUUUUCAAAUAAGACGAAUGGUUAACUUUGGACACAAAAUC
rnacentral:pre_miRNA from 1 species